GACGAACGCUGGCGGCGUGCCUAACACAUGCAAGUCGAACGGAGUUCAUUGGAUUGAGGCUUCGGCCAAAUGAAUUUGAACUUAGUGGCGAACGGGUGAGUAACGCGUGAGCAACCUGCCUUUCAGAGGGGGACAACAGUUGGAAACGACUGCUAAUACCGCAUAACACAUCGAGGAGGCAUCUCCUUGAUGUCAAAGAUUUAUCGCUGAAAGAUGGGCUCGCGUCUGAUUAGAUAGUUGGUGAGGUAACGGCUCACCAAGUCGACGAUCAGUAGCCGGACUGAGAGGUUGAACGGCCACAUUGGGACUGAGAUACGGCCCAG
rnacentral:rRNA from 1 species